GGAGGUAUAGAUCAGUGGUAGAGUGCCUGCUUAGCAUGCGUAAGAUCCUGGGGUCAAUCCUCAGUACCUCUA
rnacentral:tRNA from 1 species